GGUCAGCGUGGCAUAGUGGUUUGAGUGUUGGACUAUGCUUCUGGAGACCAGAGUUCGAUUCCCUGCUUGGCCA
rnacentral:tRNA from 1 species